rnacentral:rRNA from 1 species
CUCAGUAACACGUGGAUAACCUGCCCUUAGGACUGGCAUAACCCCGGGAAACUGGGGAUAAUUCCGGAUAGUUCAUGGUAGCUGGAAUGCUCCAUGAUCGAAAGCUAUUGCGCCUAAGGAUGGGUCUGCGGUCUAUCAGGUAGUAGUGGGUGUAAUGUACCUACUAGCCGACGACGGAUACGGGUUGUGGGAGCAAGAGCCCGGAGAUGGAUUCUGAGACAUGAAUCCAGGCCCUACGGGGCGCAGCAGGCGCGAAAACUUUACAAUGCGGGAAACCGCGAUAAGGGGACACCGAGUGCCAGCAUCUUAUGUUGGCUGUCCGCAUGUAUAAAUCACAUGUGUUAGCAAGGGCCGGGCAAGACCGGUGCCAGCCGCCGCGGUAACACCGGCGGCCCGAGUGGUGGCCACUAUUAUUGGGUCUAAAGGGUCCGUAGCCGGUUUGGUCAGUCUUCCGGGAAAUCUGACGGCUUAACCGUUAGGCUUUCGGGGGAUACUACCAGGCUUGGGACCGGGAGAGGUAAGAGGUACUACGGGGGUAGGAGUG